AUCCUCACCGGCAGAGAGGUGGCAGUGAAAAUCAUAGACAAGACUCAGCUCAACUCCUCCAGUCUUCAAAAGCUAUUUCGGGAAGUGAGGAUCAUGAAGCUCUUGAAUCACCCAAAUAUCGUGAAGUUAUUUGAAGUGAUUGAGACUGAGAAGACCCUCUACUUGGUGAUGGAAUAUGCCAGCGGAGGUGAGGUGUUUGAUUACCUCGUAGCCCACGGCAGAAUGAAAGAGAAAGAGGCCCGAGCCAAAUUCAGACAGAUUGUAUCAGCCGUGCAGUACUGUCA